rnacentral:rRNA from 1 species
GAUGAACGCUGGCGGCGUGCUUAACACAUGCAAGUCGAACGAUGAAGCCAGCUUGCUGGUGGAUUAGUGGCGAACGGGUGAGUAACACGUGAGUAACCUGCCCUUGACUCUGGGAUAAGCCUGGGAAACCGGGUCUAAUACUGGAUACGACCUUCCCACGCAUGUGGUGUUGGUGGAAAGCUUUUGUGGUUUUGGAUGGACUCGCGGCCUAUCAGCUUGUUGGUGGGGUAAUGGCCUACCAAGGCGACGACGGGUAGCCGGCCUGAGAGGGUGACCGGCCACACUGGGACUGAGACACGGCCCAGACUCCUACGGGAGGCAGCAGUGGGGAAUAUUGCACAAUGGGCGCAAGCCUGAUGCAGCGACGCCGCGUGAGGGAUGAAGGCCUUCGGGUUGUAAACCUCUUUCAGUAGGGAAGAAGCCGGCCCUUGGGUUGGUGACGGUACCUGCAGAAGAAGCGCCGGCUAACUACGUGCCAGCAGCCGCGGUAAUACGUAGGGCGCAAGCGUUAUCCGGAAUUAUUGGGCGUAAAGAGCUCGUAGCGGUUUGUCGCGUCUGCCGUGAAAGUCCGGGGCUUAACCCCGGAUCUGCGGUGGGUACGGGCAGACUAGAGUGCAGUAGGGGAGACUGGAAUUCCUGGUGUAGCGGUGAAAUGCGCAGAUAUCAGGAGGAACACCGAUGGCGAAGGCAGGUCUCUGGGCUGUAACUGACGCUGAGGAGCGAAAGCAUGGGGAGCGAACAGGAUUAGAUACCCUGGUAGUCCAUGCCGUAAACGUUGGGCACUAGGUGUGGGGGACAUUCCACGUUUUCCGCGCCGUAGCUAACGCAUUAAGUGCCCCGCCUGGGGAGUACGGCCGCAAGGCUAAAACUCAAAGGAAUUGACGGGGGCCCGCACAAGCGGCGGAGCAUGCGGAUUAAUUCGAUGCAACGCGAAGAACCUUACCAAGGCUUGACAUGAACCGGAAUGAUGCAGAGAUGUGUCAGCCACUUGUGGCCGGUUUACAGGUGGUGCAUGGUUGUCGUCAGCUCGUGUCGUGAGAUGUUGGGUUAAGUCCCGCAACGAGCGCAACCCUCGUUCCAUGUUGCCAGCGGGUUAUGCCGGGGACUCAUGGGAGACUGCCGGGGUCAACUCGGAGGAAGGUGGGGACGACGUCAAAUCAUCAUGCCCCUUAUGUCUUGGGCUUCACGCAUGCUACAAUGGCCGGUACAAAGGGUUGCGAUACUGUGAGGUGGAGCUAAUCCCAAAAAGCCGGUCUCAGUUCGGAUUGAGGUCUGCAACUCGACCUCAUGAAGUUGGAGUCGCUAGUAAUCGCAGAUCAGCAACGCUGCGGUGAAUACGUUCCCGGGCCU